AAGUCGUAACAAGGUUUCCGUAGGUGAACCUGCGGAAGGAUCAUUAUUGAAUGAAUCUGACGUGGUUGUCGCUGGCUCCCCCGGGAGUAUGUGCACGCCCGUCACCUUUAUUUCUCCACCUGUGCACACACUGUAGGCCUGGAUACCUCUCGUCGCAAGGCGGAUGCGUGGCUUGCUGUCGCUUUCGAAAGAAGGCCGGCUUGCCAUGAAUUUCCAGGUCUAUGAUUUCUUACACACCCCAAACUGAAUGUUAUGGAAUGUCAUCUCAAGGCCUUGUGCCUAUAAACCUAUACAACUUUCAGCAACGGAUCUCUUGGCUCUCGCAUCGAUGAAGAACGC
rnacentral:misc_RNA from 1 species